AAAUACAUUCCACAUGUACUAUGAUCACGACAUCUAAAUGAGUUUGCUGUAUUUUAUAAACACGAUGCAUCUUGUGCCUAAGGAUCGGUUAAGAGUUUAUAAAGUAAUUUUAAAGAUCUCAGGAAGCAUUUUCAGCAGCAUUGCGCAAGUCUGCAAAGGAUCCCGGGACAAAGUAAUAUUUAGUGGAAUUACAGAGCAGACGAAUGCGCAAAAGAACAGCAAUCACUUGCACUAGCAAAAGUAAGAAAGAAAAACAAAAUAAGUGCAGUGACAAAUUCCUAUCACGUGACAGUUAAUUCAAUUCCAGCUUGAUUCAAAAGACGUAGGGCAACGCCUGAAUUGUUUUAAAAUACGAGUAUCACGUGCGUAUCACUUGAUUCCGGAUUCCGCGAAUGUUCUUACUCAUUAUUUAAUUAAAUUAACACUUGAGCACCAAUCAAUACUGUAUGUCUAUACUAAUAGAGUUGAACGUCACUACACAAACGAAUCAAGAUCUAACACGCUUUGCAACAAUAGCUUAAACGACUUGAGGAAUCGAUAUUCACUGCAGAGUCAAAGGCAAUUUUAUCCACCUUUACAAUUUAAAAAGUAAAAAAAGGCAAACACAUUUUCUGCACUUACUCAUUAGCAGCAAUGAAAGCGAUUUGCAGCAGUACACCAAAAUGUCACAAUAAUGGAAAUUUUCGAUUUACUUCCCCAAUUCCAACACAAAUUAAAGAUAAUGUGGGUUCCCAGUUACAGAGAAAUCAAAGGCAAUGUGGCCACAGACGCCACAGCAAAGUUCGCACUACAAGGACCAAUACAGCUACAACAAGCAAUAUCUACUUGUAGAUCAGUCUAUAAUAUACCUAGCAGACCUAUAAUACCUUCUGCUAAAAUAUGAACGAGACGUUAUCAAUAAAACGGUCCGCGGAUGACAUAUGGCAAAAAUAAAUUUCAUUAUUUUGGGUGUUUGUAGUAGCCAAAGGCGUAAAUUCGACAAAAGGAUUUUAAGUAGUACACAAGUUGGAUUUAAAUAAGGAAUUCAAUUGCAAUGACCCCUAAAUUUUCGGUAUAUUAAGCAAAUUUCACCAGGGAGUAUAUUAAUCUUUAUGUACUCGUACAAUAAUGACUAUGCACAGAAUAGCAUAUGUUAAAAAGUCGAAGAAUUUCAAAACGCAAAAAUUCAAAAUUUACUAAAGAGAUUGAAAUAUUGUUUUUAGCUAUACAACUUUCAAAGGUUGCCUAUCACUUUGCAUUAACCAAAUAGAUCUUAUAUGAAACAAAAUGAACAUUUCGUUCCAAUAUAUUAUCAUUUAUUAUAUUUUACUUUACGGCAGAGCAGCGUAGGCGACACAAUUGGUUUAAAAUAGGAGAUGUCCACUGACCUAAAAGAUGCGAACAUUUUAUUUUUUAACCUUCAUUUUGAAAUCUUUCCCGUGUCCAGAAGUGCGAGAAUUAAAAUGAUGUACAGAUUUAUUUGAAAAGGAAGCCAGGUUAAAAUUUAGGCGUUCUUGACAAAAGCGCUUAUACUUGAAAGGUAUUAUUAAACUUUGUUGAAGUAUAUGUAUAAAUAUUUUAUAAAAAAUAUAACUUUUGAUAAUCAAUGAA